rnacentral:rRNA from 1 species
AUUGAACGCUGGCGGCGUGCCUUACACAUGCAAGUCGAACGGUAACAGGUCUCCGGAUGCUGACGAGUGGCGAACGGGUGAGUAAUACAUCGGAACGUGCCCGAUCGUGGGGGAUAACGAAGCGAAAGCUUUGCUAAUACCGCAUACGAUCUACGGAUGAAAGCAGGGGACCGCAAGGCCUUGCGCGAACGGAGCGGCCGAUGGCAGAUUAGGUAGUUGGUGGGAUAAAAGCUUACCAAGCCGACGAUCUGUAGCUGGUCUGAGAGGACGACCAGCCACACUGGGACUGAGACACGGCCCAGACUCCUACGGGAGGCAGCAGUGGGGAAUUUUGGACAAUGGGCGAAAGCCUGCUCCAGCCAUGCCGCGUGCAGGAUGAAGGCCUUCGGGUUGUAAACUGCUUUUGUACGGAACGAAAAGACUCUGGUUAAUACCUGGGGUCCAUGACGGUACCGUAAGAAUAAGCACCGGCUAACUACGUGCCAGCCGCCGCCGUAAUAC